UGGGGAAUAUUGCACAAUGGAGGGAACUCUGAUGCAGCGACGCCGCGUGAACGAAGAAGGCUUUCGAGUCGUAAAGUUCUUUUAUAUGGGAAGAUAAUGACGGUACCAUAAGAAAAAGCCCCGGCUAACUACGUGCCAGCAGCCGCGGUAAUACGUAGGGGGCUAGCGUUGUCCGGAAUCACUGGGCGUAAAGCGCGCGCAGGCGGCUUCCUAAGUCCAUCUUAAAAGUGCGGGGCUUAACCCCGUGAUGGGAUGGAAACUGGGAAGCUGGAGUAUCGGAGAGGAAAGUGGAAUUCCUAGUGUAGCGGUGAAAUGCGUAGAGAUUAGGAAGAACACCGGUGGCGAAGGCGACUUUCUGGACGAAAACUGACGCUGAGGCGCGAAAGCGUGGGGAGCAAACAGG
rnacentral:rRNA from 1 species